rnacentral:rRNA from 1 species
UGGGGAAUAUUGGACAAUGGGCGAAAGCCUGAUCCAGCCAUGCCGCGUGUGUGAAGAAGGUCUUCGGAUUGUAAAGCACUUUAAGUUGGGAGGAAGGGCAGUAAGCGAAUACCUUGCUGUUUUGACGUUACCGACAGAAUAAGCACCGGCUAACUCUGUGCCAGCAGCCGCGGUAAUACAGAGGGUGCAAGCGUUAAUCGGAAUUACUGGGCGUAAAGCGCGCGUAGGUGGUUCGUUAAGUUGAAUGUGAAAGCCCCGGGCUCAACCUGGGAACUGCAUCCAAAACUGGCGAGCUAGAGUAGGGCAGAGGGUGGUGGAAUUUCCUGUGUAACGGUGAAAUGCGUAGAUAUAGGAACACCAGUGGCGAAGGCGACCACCUGGGCUCAUACUGACACUGAGGUGCGAAAGCGUGGGGAGCAAACAGG